rnacentral:misc_RNA from 1 species
AACUGAUACUACCUGCGGGAACCUGCGGAGGGAUCAUUACUGAGUGAGGGCCCUCUGGGUCCAACCUCCCACCCGUGUCUCUUGUACCAUGUUGCUUCGGCGAGCCCGCCUCACGGCCGCCGGGGGGCAUCUGCCCCCGGGCCCGCGCCCGCCGAAGCCCCCUCUGAACGCUGUCUGAAGAUUGCAGUCUGAGCGAUAAGCAAAAAUUAUUUAAAACUUUUAACAACGGAUCUCUAGAUC